UACAGAGGGUGCGAGCGUUGUUCGGAAUUAUUGGGCGUAAAGGGAGUGUAGGCGGUCUUUUAAGUCUUCUGUGAAAUCUACGGGCUUAGCCUGUAACGUGCAGAGGAAACUGGAAGGCUUGAGUGUCGGAGAGGAUAGGGGAAUACCCAGUGUAGAGGUGAAAUUCGUAGAGAUUGGGUGGAACACCAGUGGCGAAGGCGGCUCACUGGACAGGUAUUGACGCUGAGGUGCGAAAGCGUGGGGAGCAAACAGG
rnacentral:rRNA from 1 species